AAGUUAGGUAUCAUAUAUGCCAUGUGUGGAGUCGAUCCUGGAGGACAAUUUUCUGCCAGCAACUUCCGUAUGUUCUUUGUUCCUCCUGGAAUUCCCCAUAAUGUACUACAGAGAACCAGAAACAAUCAAAAUUCAUGUUGGUAGAGCAAAGUCACCAAAAUGCAUCUACAAAACUUCCUACAACUAAGGCUCAGGUUCCUUCUUUUUAUUGGCUUCACCUGCCUCUGCUGACCUGUCCUGAAGGAACUGCACAAACUGAGUGGAACUCAAUUACUCAAGAGAACUCAACAGCGCUGAAUGAACUGCACUGACUGAACUGAUUUGAACUCCACUGCCUGAUGGCAGCUGAACUACACUCAAUGUACUUCUCUCCCUUCUUGACUCACUGUGCAGUGCUCUUCAGUAGCCUCUUUUUCCCGUCUAAUGUGAGUUGUAGGUUUCCUAGCUCUGACUCAUUCUGUGAACUCUUUUUCUGUUUGUCCUCUUUUCUGGCCUUAAAUUAGAUGUCACUUUUAAACUUCCUUCUACAAACCAACUUUACCUUCAUUUUUCUAGAAUAUCACUGGAUACUAAAGGUGAGUCUAAUUCCACCCAAAAGAAUUAAGCUUGUGUGGUGUGUCUACAUUCCAGCCAGAACACACACCAAGUCUCUGGAUGCCAUACCUGGCCAGAAUUGUAAUGUUACUAGAUUAAGAAUCCUCUACAAUUUUAUGUAUAUACACGUUCAUUUUUAAAUAAAAGCUGCUCUGUGU